GACGAACGCUGGCGGCGUGCUUAACACAUGCAAGUCGAACGGAAAGGCCCUGCUUUUGUGGGGUGCUCGAGUGGCGAACGGGUGAGUAACACGUGAGUAACCUGCCCUUGACUUUGGGAUAACUUCAGGAAACUGGGGCUAAUACCGGAUAGGAGCUCCUGCUGCAUGGUGGGGGUUGGAAAGUUUCGGCGGUUGGGGAUGGACUCGCGGCUUAUCAGCUUGUUGGUGGGGUAGUGGCUUACCAAGGCUUUGACGGGUAGCCGGCCUGAGAGGGUGACCGGCCACAUUGGGGCUGAGAUACGGCCCAGACUCCUACGGGAGGCAGCAGUGGGGAAUAUUGCACAAUGGACGGAAGCCUGAUGCAGCAACGCCGCGUGCGGGAUGACGGCCUUCGGGUUGUAAACCGCUUUCGCCUGUGACGAAGCGUGAGUGACGGUAAUGGGUAAAGAAGCACCGGCUAACUACGUG
rnacentral:rRNA from 1 species